GGACAUCCAGAUUCUAAAUCCAAGUUACAGAAAGUGCAAAGUGCUGCUGGGCAGGGGCACCGUUGGUUAGCUAGAGCGGUUUUACUCUAAGCCAAUCAGUAGCUCCCAAUUGCUAAAAACACAUACACAAAGACAUCAUCUUACUCUUAUCGAUCUACCUCCACAUUUACUUUUGUUGUUGAAGUAAAUAAAUGUUUAUUCUAAGUUGUUUGAAAC